AAAGUACGAAAUCCUGGAAACCGGGAGGUGGGGGUCGUGUUGGGCCGAGAGCCGUGAUGGGGUGGUGUUGCUUUUCGUGACUGUAUGCGGGUGGUCGCACGGUGUUCAGGGUUGGUUCACGUGAACAUCACGCGCCACCUUUCAGCCUCAAUUUUUGAAUGGAAUCUCUUCAUGAAUCUCCCACCUCAAUCUGUACGAUUUUAAAAUUAUAUGGAAACUUUGACUUGUUAUUUUAUGUUCAUUUUUUAUUUUUUACUUUUUGUGUAUAGUGUAUUUUUUUUAUUUUUAGUUUUGAUAAUAUGUCUAAUGCUUCGCAAUGACGUGUCAUUU
rnacentral:lncRNA from 1 species